rnacentral:lncRNA from 1 species
AAAAAUGGGAUUGUUACAACCGUUUCUCUAAACGAAAGAAAAGGUAGGGAUUUUGGGUUUUUGCAAGUAUUCAACAGGACAAAUAGAACAAACUAUAUUGGUCCUCUUAGAGAUCGAAUUCAAAUUCCAUUUGAAUUUAUCAAAAAAAUGAAUUAAAAGGUCUUUGCUGAUUUAGCUCGUUGAAUUAAAAAUUGUUCGAAUUGUAUAAUCGUCAAUUACGCGCAUCGGUAAACGCCCU